GUGCAAUGGCGUGCUCUUGGCUCACUGCAAUCUCCACCUCCUGGGUUCAAGCAAUUCUCCUCCCUCAGACUCCCAAGUAGCUAGGAUUACAGGUGCACACCACCAUGCCCAGCUAAUUUGUAUAUUUUUAAGUAGAGACAGGAUUUCACCAUGUUGGCCAGGCUGGAAAAAAUUUGAUAAGCAUAUGGAAAUAAGGCACCUGGAAGUCCUCAUUCCUCAGGACACGUUAAGAGAAUGUCUCUAUUAUUAAAGCAAGUUAAGAGCCAGGAUUACUGUUACUUGUCUUGAAAGCAUGUUGGCAUUUCCAGUGUUCCCUAUGUCUCAUCAGGAUGAUCUCUGGCUUAUGUAAAUCUUUUCAGCUAUCUGCUGUAGCACACUAGUGUGAAAGAUGUGUUAAGGGAGAGGUGAUAGCUUGUUCCUUAGUGAUGUUAGAUAUCAGAUGGGUCCUGGGUAUCUAGAAUUAUCAGGUCACUUGUUUUCAGCCAUGAGUAGUAUGCUCUACAGCAGUUAUUGAUGUAUAUAAAUGCUGUAGAUUUGAAAAUGGUAGUUAAGUGCUAAUUUAGAGUAUCUACUUUAUAAUUCAGAGCAAUUUGAUGGGUCAUAGUGGGCAGGAGUAUUCUAGUCAUCUUUCCAAAUAGAAUAAUUUUAAAUAUUGUCCACACUAGGAAAAAAACUAAUUUUAUAUUAGUAUAUCUUUAUUCAUUCAGAAUUUAGUGAUCUGAAAAUUUUUUUCCCAUUCUGUUGGUUGCCGAUCCACUCUAGUGACUGUUUCUUUUGCCGUGCAGAAGCUGUGGAGUUUCAUUAGGUCCCAUUUGUCUAUUUUGGCUUUUGUUGCCAAUGCUUUUGGUGUUUUGUUCAUGAGGUCCUUGCCUACUCCUAUGUCCUGGAUAGUUUUGCCUAGAUUUUCUUCUAGGGUUUUUAUGGUGCCAGGUCUUAUGUUUAAGUCUUUAAUCCAUCUGGAGUUAAUUUUAGUGUAAGGUGUCAGGAAGGGGUCCAGUUUCUGCUUUCUGCACAUGGCUAGCCAGUUUUCCCAAUACCAUUUGUUAAACAUGGAAUCCUUUCCCCAUUGCUUGUUUUUGUCAGGUUUAUCAAAGAUUGUAUAGUUGUAUGUAUGUUGUGUUGCCUCCGGUGCCUCUGUUUUGUUCCAUUGGUCUAUAUCUCUGUUUUGGUACCAGUACCAUGCUGUUUUGAUUACUGUAGCCUUGUAGUAUA
rnacentral:lncRNA from 1 species